UACAGAGGUCCCAAGCGUUGUUCGGAUUCAUUGGGCGUAAAGGGUGCGUAGGCGGCGCGGUAAGUCGGGUGUGAAAUCUCGGAGCUUAACUCGGAAAGGUCAACUGAUACUGUGCGGCUAGAGUGCAGAAGGGGCAACUGGAAUUCUCGGUGUAGCGGUGAAAUGCGUAGAUAUCGAGAGGAACACCUGCGGCGAAGGCGGGUUGCUGGGCUGACACUGACGCUGAUGCGCGAAAGCCAGGGGAGCGAACGGG
rnacentral:rRNA from 1 species